rnacentral:lncRNA from 1 species
UUUUCACUAGAUGGGUUAUAAGCUCCAUUAAAGGAGCAUAAAAAAAAGUUCAGUUUUUGUAUACAUCUAUGGUGACCCAAGAGAGAAGAAGGCUUCUUGAAGUUUCUUUCAUGAGUUCCUAUGGUGAUUUAAAGAAAAAGAAAGAUUGUUGAAAGUUCUUGGUUUGAGAUCUUUGAUAGCACAAUUAUGUCAUCUUUAAUAUAAAAUUGGGAUUGCUUCUCGUGAGUUUCUU